GUCGUUAUAUUUUUAAAAGUUUUUUUUUAUUUUCUUUACCAUUUUUCCGAAUAAAGAAAAAAGGAAAAAUACAUAAUUAGAAUCAAAAUAAACUUUUAUUUAUGUCGUUAAGAGUUGCAACAAAAUUCAUGAAGCCCAAACAAAAACACCUCUGCCUUGGACAGAGCAGAGGGAAACUUGUGAAAGAUAAAAACAGAAAAAACAGAAAAAUAAAUUACUCGAACACAUGCAUGGAUUUGGGAAUAUCCAC
rnacentral:lncRNA from 1 species